rnacentral:rRNA from 1 species
GGAUCAUUACUGAGUUUACGCUCUAUAACCCUUUGUGAACAUACCUAUAACUGUUGCUUCGGCGGGUAGGGUCUCCGCGACCCUCCCGGCCUCCCGCCUCCGGGCGGGUCGGCGCCCGCCGGAGGAUAACCAAACUCUGAUUUAACGACGUUUCUUCUGAGUGGUACAAGCAAAUAAUCAAAACUUUUAACAACGGAUCUCUUGGUUCUGGCAUCGAUGAAGAACGCAGCGAAAUGCGAUAAGUAAUGUGAAUUGCAGAAUUCAGUGAAUCAUCGAAUCUUUGAACGCACAUUGCGCCCGCCAGCAUUCUGGCGGGCAUGCCUGUUCGAGCGUCAUUUCAACCCUCAAGCUCUGCUUGGUGUUGGGGCCCUACAGCUGAUGUAGGCCCUCAAAGGUAGUGGCGGACCCUCCCGGAGCCUCCUUUGCGUAGUAACUUUACGUCUCGCACUGGGAUCCGGAGGGACUCUUGCCGUAAAACCCCCCAAUUUUCCAAAGGUUGACCUCGGAUCAGGUAGGAAUACCCGCUGAACUUAAGCAUAUCAAUAAGCGGAGGAAAAGAAACCAACAGGGAUUGCCUCAGUAACGGCGAGUGAAGCGGCAACAGCUCAAAUUUGAAAUCUGGCCCUAGGCCCGAGUUGUAAUUUGCAGAGGAUGCUUUUGGUGCGGUGCCUUCCAAGUUCCCUAGAACGGGACGCCAGAGAGGGUGAGAGCCCCGUACAGUUGGACACCAAGCCUUUGUAAAGCUCCUUCGACGAGUCGAGUAGUUUGGGAAUGCUGCUCAAAAUGGGAGGUAUAUUUCUUCUAAAGCUAAAUACCGGCCAGAGACCGAUAGCGCACAAGUAGAGUGAUCGAAAGAUGAAAAGCACUUUGAAAAGAGGGUUAAACAGCACGUGAAAUUGUUAAAAGGGAAGCGCUUGUGACCAGACUUGCGUCCGGUGAAUCACCCAGCUCUCGCGGCUGGGGCACUUCGCCGGCUCAGGCCAGCAUCAGCUCGCUGUCGGGGACAAAAGCUUCAGGAACGUAGCUCUCUUCGGGGAGUGUUAUAGCCUGUUGCACAAUACCCUUCGGCGGGCUGAGGUACGCG